rnacentral:rRNA from 1 species
UACGAAGGGGGCUAGCGUUGUUCGGAAUUACUGGGCGUAAAGCGUGCGCAGGCGGUUUUGUAAGACAGCUGUGAAAUCCCCGGGCUCAACCUGGGAACUGCGGUUGUGACUGCAAGACUGGAGUGUGGCAGAGGGGGGUGGAAUUCCACGUGUAGCAGUGAAAUGCGUAGAGAUGUGGAGGAACACCGAUGGCGAAGGCAGCCCCCUGGGUCAACACUGACGCUCAUGCACGAAAGCGUGGGGAGCAAACAGG